GGCACUUUCUAAGCUCAGUUUCAUCGCCUGAUGAUCCAACAAUGAACCUUUGGAUGCUUUCUGGUGCUUUAGAAGGGGCGAUAUGUUGAAAGAUUGGUAACAUUUCAAUAUUUGUCUGAAUUUUCUGUUUAUUUUCAGUCUCCAAUUUUGUAUUCUCCAAGCUCUUGUUGUCUUGUAGGCCAGCAAAUUUCACUAGCCCAUUUUCUGUUGUCAAUACAGUUACGACCAAAAAAUCAGGUAUCGUACGGAAGCUAGCAAAACAAACGUUCAACGACGAUAAAUUUUGCAACAAAGAGAAAUAUAUCAGAAGAGACACAAACAUAAAACGUGGUUCGAUCAACCGACUUAUGUCCACGAAUGGAGAUGAGCAAUCCACUAUAUAAAAGAGAGUGCAAAAUAUCUAGAGCACAACCUCGCGAAGAGGCAAACACAACCGACACAUUAACAUUUGUGCCGUAAAGUUUUCCCCUAAACACUACUCUCAAGCCCAUAUGGCUACAUGAUGGAUGCUACUGAAUGAGAAGGAAGGAUCCUCAAUUUAUAGAAGUCCAAACUUUUUCUUACAAGAAAAAGGACUAGACAAGUAUAGGACUAUUAUAAUUUUCUUUUACAAAAAGGAAAAUCCAAUUAAGGUAAUUAUAUUGUCAUUUCCUUCAACAAAUAGGAAAAUCAAAUAUGGUAAGAAAAUUAUGGCAAACAACUAACAUUCUGUCCCUUGGCCGUAAUUUUCUGACAAAAUAGACUUGAUGCACCUUCUUCACAUAGCUUUCAAUAGGCCGCAUCUCCAAAUCUCCACCAUAAAGUUUGAUCUUAGAAUGAAACCCGAGAUUUGAUGUCCAAGCCUAUCCCAAUUAUUGUUAUCGAUGUUGGGCGCUCAUUUAUGUUGCCCAUACUCCAGAGGUCUGGGCAUGAGGGGGUGUUAAGUUGUAUUCCACAUCGGUGGAUUAUGGGUAUAUCUCGAUCUCCUUAUAUAGUCUUGCGCAAUCCUCACCUCACAAGUUAGCUUUUGGGGUUGAGUUAAAAACACCUGACAAGAAGCUCACAGCCAAACUCUAUUAAGUUUGUAAUGCGUACAUUGCACUCUUCAGCAGCAUCAGAUCCCUUCAUUAUCCCAUCCAAAUGCAGAGAAUUGGAUUGAAAAGCUAGAGAUACUACAUACACAUUAAUUCCUAUUUUAAAUGACCCUAGCUGCAAUACCGGUUCUUUGCUACGCGACUUCUCAACUGUUCCACCUUCUUGUUCAGUAAUAUCAGUUCUCUAGCUCGUCUUUAUGAUUAACAGCUGCUGCUGUAAAUUUAGUUGGAAUUAUUCCAUUUUCAGGCAAUAUUUCAAUAACUUUUUCAGUAUCCAUUGGUUUUUUCACGAUAGGUUGGUGCUUAGUAAGAGAGAUAUCAGUUUGAAUACUUUCAUUUUCAGUUAACUUGGCCACAUUUAUUACAUAAUCCUCCUUAAUUAUGGUUGAAGGAGCUGUACCGCCAAUCUGCAAUUCAUGAAAUGCCUGCCCAGAGGACUCAGUAAUCCCUGCAUUAUCUGAUUGAUUUGGCAACACAUUAAUCUCUAGAGUAAGAUCUACACAUUUGUCUUCUGCCUCGGGAUUUGUUUAAAAGGAAUCGAUUGGAAUAAUCUGUGAAGCAUCUUCAGACUACGUGCCUGUAGUAGCUUUUUCGUUUGAAUUCAUUCCCUUCAGCAUUUACCCCAAAACCAUUUUCAACCUGAUUUCCAUCACAAAUAAGUUCAUACUUUUCCUCAUCAUUUUCUCCCAUAACCAAGUUAUCUCGUUUAUCAUCAUCAUCUGAAAUGGAACACUUGUCUGCAGGUGUGAUUUCAGUAUUGAAAUGGUCGGCUUUAUCCUCAUUAUGGCUUGAGUGCGCGCAGUAUAGUACUCCAUUUUCCUCUCUAGAUGAUGAGAUACAGUCUUUUUCUAGCGCCUCAGUGACAACCUUCAACCCUUCCUAUGGAUCAGACUCCGGAACUACUUCAAGUGGUAUGCGCCACAAAUUAAGAUCUGAUGAACUUCCUUCUGCUUUACGUGUUGCAGUUUUCCCCACUCAGAACAGUAACUAGACGGGUUUGUUCUUGGUUUAAUAUGAUAACUUAUUUUGCAGUUCCUCCUUUGAUUGUCUUGGAAGUACUAGAUGCAGACAAGUUAGGAACUACUUUUGCAAGGAUAACUGCAGAUUGUAAUAUUAACGAAUUGCACAGUGCGCAGUCUAAUACUCCAUUUAUACCAACGCAUGUUAAUAUAUAGUACAUUAGUUAAGAUAAAACUAUCUUUUGACACCAAAUAAAAUGGUUUGUUCUUCCUCGUCCCUUAUCUUUUGGCAUCUACACAACUCUUUUGUUUAUCAACGGAUUUUAGGAAUAAUCUUUGAACUUGUUAAAAAUGUUUAAGUUACAUAAACUAAGCUGAGC
rnacentral:lncRNA from 1 species